UACGAAGGGGGCUAGCGUUGUUCGGAAUUACUGGGCGUAAAGCGCGCGCAGGCGGCUAUCCAAGUCAGUGGUGAAAGCCCGGAGCUUAACUCCGGAACUGCCAUUGAAACUGUUUAGCUUGAGUAUGAGAGAGGUGAGUGGAAUUCCCAGUGUAGAGGUGAAACUCGUAGAUAUUGGGAAGAACACCGGUGGCGAAGGCGGCUCACUGGCUCAUUACUGACGCUCAGGCGCGACAGCGUGGGGAUCAAACAGG
rnacentral:rRNA from 1 species